GAUGAAGAACGUAGCGAAAUGCGAAAAGUAAUGUGAAUUGCAGAAUUCAGUGAACCAUCGAAUCUUUGAACGCACAUUGCGCCCGCUGGAACUCCGGCGGGCACGCCUGUCCGAGCGUCAUUUCAACCCUCAGGCCCCCCUUCGCGGGCGGGCCUGGUGUUGGGGCCCGGCCGCUACCCUGCGGCCGUCCCCUAAAUCCAGUGGCGGCCUCGCCGUGAUCCCUUGCGUAGUAAUGCACCUCGCACCGGAGAGCGCCGUGGCCACGCCGUAAAACCCCCAAUUUUCAAUGGUUGACCUCGGAUCAGGUGGGAAUACCCGCUGAACUUAAGCAUAUCAAUGAGCGGAGGA
rnacentral:misc_RNA from 1 species